rnacentral:rRNA from 1 species
UACGUAGGGUGCAAGCGUUAAUCGGAAUUACUGGGCGUAAAGCGUGCGCAGGCGGUUUGGUAAGACAGAUGUGAAAUCCCUGGGCUCAACCUAGGAAUUGCAUUUGUGACUGCCCGGCUAGAGUGUGUCAGAGGGGGGGUAGAAUUCCACGUGUAGCAGUGAAAUGCGUAGAGAUGUGGAGGAAUACCGAUGGCGAAGGCAGCCCCCUGGGAUAACACUGACGCUCAUGCACGAAAGCGUGGGGAGCAAACAGG